GAGACUUGUGCAAACAUGGAGCGUGCAAGCGGCGGAUCCUCGAAGACGGGGAUGCCGUUCUUCU
rnacentral:sRNA from 1 species